UGUAGAAAGAGAUCUGCUUUUAUGAAGACAAGGAGGAGUUUUAUGGACGUAAGUGGGCUCGUCUCGAUUAUGGUCCCCAGAGACAAUGUCUGCCCCCUUGCCUGUGGGCAGGUGAUCGCUGUGCUGAAGGUGACCAGUUCUAGCUCCAACAGAAAAAGGAAAAUAUAGAUCAUCAUAAAUCAAAGCACGUCAGUAGAGUGCUGAGCAAUAUGACUGACAUGAAAAUAAUGAUGAAAUGCUGCCCAAAUACCCAGUGUUCUGCUAAGC